CCUACGGGAGGCAGCAGUAGGGAAUAUUGCACAAUGGGGGAAACCCUGAAGCAGCAACGCCGCGUGGAGGAUGAAGGUUUUCGGAUUGUAAACUCCUUUUGUUAGAGAAGAUAAUGACGGUAUCUAACGAAUAAGCACCGGCUAACUACGUGCCAGCAGCCGCGGUAAUACGGAGGGUGCAAGCGUUACUCGGAAUCACUGGGCGUAAAGAGCGCGUAGGCGGGAUAGCAAGUCAGAUGUGAAAGCCUAGGGCUUAACCAUAGAACUGCAUUUGAAACUGUCAUACUAGAGUACUGGAGAGGUAGGUGGAAUUCUUGGUGUAGGGGUAAAAUGCGUAGAGAUUAAGAGGAAUACUCAUUGCGAAGGCGACCUGCUAGAACAUAACUGACGCUGAUGCGCGAAAGCGUGGGGAGCAAACAGGAUUAGAUACCCGGGUAGUC
rnacentral:rRNA from 1 species